UUGACAGCUCUUGAAAUAAAACACCUUUAUUUGUCUACAAAACAGGUGCAGAAGAGAGACAGAAGCAGUGAAAACUUCCCCACACUACCCCACCAAUGUGACUCAUCUCUGACCUGGAGGGGACCGCUCCCAGUGUUGAAAGAGGAGUUCAGCAUACAUGCUCAAACCAUUGACUCA
rnacentral:sRNA from 1 species